GAGGCACCCUCUGCCUUUCUGCUCUACUGGCUCGGUCCUUUACGGUGUUGCCUUGUAUGUGUGGCUUUGUCUCCUGUUGACUCCCGCGGUGACCUGCUGGUCGCAGGCAGGCUGCACGUACAAAAACGCACCUCACACGUGUGCCACGCUUUGUUUCUAAGCAGUCCUGGUGUCCGGAAAGCUCCAUUUGCUUCAGUGUAAGCAACGUGGUCUAGCAUGAAGUACUCCUGUCCAUAGCAGGGGUUGCAACUGGUGGUCUUCAAGUCCCCCCCAGCCCAAACGAGAGAGGAGGCUCAGGGGAGGUCUUAACACUCUCUAUGAAGACCUGAGAGGAGGUCGUUUCAAGCUGGGGAUUGCCCUCUUCUCCCAGCAGAAAAGGACAGCUGUUUACUGUGACCUCUGUCCAGCAAAGGCCCACAUACUUAGCAAGAGUUAACUCCUCCUUGUUAUGAGGAGUAAAAUGUGAGAAAAGUCAAGAAGUGUAAAUCUUCAAAGGAUAAUGUGCAGUUAGAUGCCAUUUGGCGUGAUGAAGAAUAUCACACUGCAGCCCGGAGAGGCAGUGACAUUAUUCAGGAAGCCUUGAGAAUCAAUAUUUCCUGUCUCCUACUCCUGUGCUGCCUUUACGGAUAGACAAGACACUUUUAACAAUUGCCCUGCCUGAAGCUCAGCUGCACAGUCCACCAGGCUGCUUGCAUAAGACACCUUCCUUGGUGCCAUCCAUCCUCUGUGUUCAGGCCCGUUUUGGUACAGAAACGUAUUGAGACAGUCUGCAAUCCAUGAAGAUGAGAAAAGGAGAGUAUGGAAGCAGAAUGCUCUGUGGGAGUUCAUGAUGGAGAAGACUAGAAUCAUGUGGAAGCAGCCUAACUAUGCUCCCUAAAGGGCCAGCUCAUUGUUACAUGUAGCAUCUGACUACAUCCAUGCCUUUUUUGCAAGUAGUCCAAAGCAUGUCUAACUCAACAUAGGCUGCAGGAGAGUGUGCUUAAAAGUCCAUUAUAUCUCAACUAUAACAAUAGGCAAGUACAUUUUAAGUGCUAUGAAGUUCUCUAGUCAAACAGUAGCCAACGGUAGGGAUGCUUAUUUCAGGAUGCGUUUGGUCACCCCCACAACCUUGUGCCAAAGACUGGCAUCAGUAGCAGAGAUUCUGGCACAUAGUAGCUUGCUAAAUGUGUCAAGAGAAAGACUGAAGGAUGGUAUGGCUUUGGAAGCUGGCUCUUAUGAGACUGCUAUGCAUCAGAAAGCAAGCAUCUAUCUGCCUUGGGUCAUUAUCUCUGCGAGGCUGUCAGUAUGACCUCAGCUAAUGGCAAUCCUCUCAGGGCUAGUUUGCAAGCAAUAAACCCUGUCUCUCAUAUUACAGUUUUCAUCCUUAGUUCUUAAAGUGCUUUAUGAGAGCAUUAUGAUUUUUCACAAAACCACAGCCUGUGAAAUUACGUCAAUUUUUUAAAAUGAUUUUUGUUUUAUAAUUAUGUCUUCCUUAAUAAUUAAAAAUGUGAAGGCACAGUUGUAUAUACCUGAAUGACUGGUAUGAAUUUAGAAUUAACAACAUGCCUGCAACAUCCUAUUCUUUGAAGCCUGACCAAAUCAGAGCUGUGGAAAUGUGCAAUUACCCAGCUGUUGUUUAAGAAUAAGAAAAAAAAAAGGAGUGCCAUGAUAUGAACAAUUUCUGUGUGGUGUUACAUAAGGGAAGCUGUUCUGUCCUGUGGAAAUACAGGGAAGAUCCUGUGCUUCUGCCCCAGUCAUGUUUCUGCAAGAGAUAACGUUCCACAAUAUGAUCUGCCAAACAGAAAUUGACUCUGGGCAGUGAGACCCAAGCAGAGAGAACUGCUGUGCAUGAGAUAAGGAAAUGAGCUGCAAAGCACUGAAAAAAAUGCAAAAAUAAAAACAAGCCAUUAC
rnacentral:lncRNA from 1 species